AUGUGGAGUCUGGAAUCUGAAAGAGAAACUGAACUAACAACCUCUGGGGAAGUGGAUAAACCAAUGUCUAAUUCAGAGAACCUGCUGCAUGUUCAAGAAAUAGUGUCAACCCCAAAGACAAGAUCUACCAUGCACACAUGGGAACAAGAGUCCACCUACCCCCCAGCUGAGUCUCAUCCAACCUUAGCCAUGUGGGAUCUAGAAUCUGAAAGAGAAACAGAGCCAAUAACUGCUGGGGACAUGAAUAAACCAACGCCUAAUCUAGAGAUCCUGCAGCAUGUUCAGGAUAUGGUAUCAACCCAAAAGUCAAGGUUAACCAUGCACAAAUGGGAACAAGAGCCCACCUCCCCCUCAGCUGAGUCUCAGCCAUUCUCAUCCUUGGGGGAUCUGGAAUAUGAAAGUGAAACAGAACCAAGCAUUGCUGGGGACAUGGAUAAACCAACGCCUAAUCUAGAAAUCAUGCAGCAUGUUCAAGGGAUGAAAUCAACAACACCAGAGACCAGGUCAAUCAUACAAAUAUGGGGACAAGAGCCCAACUAUCCCUCAACUGAAUCUCAGCCAUCCUCAGCUAUGUGGAAUUUGGACUCUGAAAAAGAAAGAGAGCUAACGACCACCAAAGACUUGGAUAAAUCAGUGCCUAAUCUAGGGAUCCUGCAACAUGUUCAGGAGAUUGCAUCAACACAUCCGUCAAAGACAAGCCCAUCCACACAUGAGCAGGUACAAGCUGUGCAGGAUUUGAAGUCUGAGGGAGAACAUAAGCCAACAAGCUCAUCAGUAACAGUCCUGCCAAUAGUUACACAAGACCUAAAGCCUACAGCAGAAAUGCCACCAACUAUCUCUUGGGACCGUAUAUCUGAAGUGCCCCCAGUUAUCCAGGACACAAAACCCACCAGGUCCUUAGCUGAAGUUCAGCCUACAGCUGCCACAUGGGACCCAGAACCUGGGAAAGAGAGGGAAGCAACCAGCCAUGUAAUAAAGGAACUAUUCCUGUUCUCAAAGAGCCUGGAGACUACAAAGGAGAAGGAAUUGCCAACAGUUGCACAGAAUGUAUUAUCUAUAACACAGAUGGGAACAAUUGAUCCCAACAUUCUAGACUCUGAGAAGAACAUAGAUAAGAAGCAUCAAGAGGAA
rnacentral:lncRNA from 1 species